UAUGUUUUUGAGAUUAUUUGUCAUUUCUGUGACCAGAGGGAUGCAGUGAUUAAAACUGAAAGUAGUUCAGAGUGACAGCUGCAUAGAUAUAUGAAUGUGUGUUGAUAAGAUGUCCUUGACCCAAUAACACUAAGAUGAUGCCACAAAGAAGAGUUGUCAAGGUUCAGGAUCCAGUUUCACAAGUUAAUACAUGACAGAUUCAGAAUUGGGGUGUGUCUUUUUCCUUUCUUGCCCAAUUUGACUGGAUUUUUAAGUAGUAGCAAAUAAACUUAGAUCAUGAUAAUGUUGUGCAAGAAAAGGUUUGACUUUGUAAUGAAUAACUAUUAAUAAAUGCCAAAGACAAUGAUUGGCAACAAGGAUUGCUGCAGUGUUUGGCUCAUGUAACUAUCAGAAAUGUGACAUAAAUAGCUUUAUCCUUUAUUGUGCCUCAGUGGGGAAAUUAAUUUGUAACAGCAGCAACGCUACAGAGCAUUGAGGCAUGCAGGUUUUCAGUGUAAUAUGAGAUCAUCUCAUUUAUCCAAUGUUACUGAUUCCAUCGUAACAGUGAAAGAACAAAAGUUUAAAGAAGUAGGGCUUGCAUAUUUUGAUGUCUAAAUUUAUGUGAGCAUCAAAAAGACAUAAAACUAUGUUAAGUUUAAAAGAAAGUUAUCCCUUCUACAGGCCUUCAAGUCAAAGACUAAUUGAAGAACCAAUCCCUGAUUAGACUUAGAAAUAAACCUUUAAAGAUUGAUAAUACAAAGAAAUUUCCAAAACUAACAGCAGAAUAAGACUUCAGUACAAUCAAUGAGAGCGCUGUUUCUUAGCUAUUUGGUUCUAAGUAAAUCUUGUUUUAAUCCUUUCUGUACUUAAGCUUAAGAAUAAAUAAUUAUCAGAAAAUUGUAAUGA